AAUCACCGGGGUAGCCCUCUGU
rnacentral:rRNA from 1 species